UUGCACUCCACUGUCUGAGUGAGUGUUAGUGUGAGUGUGUCUGCACAAGUGUGUCAUACACACACACGCGCACAUACAUCUCUCUGUAUCCACUCAAUGCACGUGCACACCUCCACGGUUCGCCACACGCGCCAAGACUUACACAAAAAAAGAGAGCUCACCACUGCCGCGGCGACAGUCUCGCGGCGUUCCCCCCCCCCCACACACACAUACACACGCACACACAUAGCCGCACGUAACCGUACGCGCUUUAUCAUCCCCGUAUCAUGAGCGUUAGCAUGGCAGAUGCUGCGCAGAAACUGAGCGAAAAGCCGGAGAACAUCCGCAACUUCUGCAUGGUCGCCCACGUGGAUCAUGGCAAGACCACCCUCAGCGACUACCUCGUCGCCAGCAACGGCAUCCUUUCCCCGCAGCUGGCGGGUGAGGUGCGGCUGCUCGACUCCCGGCCUGAUGAGCAGGAGCGUUGCAUAACCAUGAAGGCCAGCUCUAUCGCGCUGCACCACGCCUACGCUGGCAAGAGCCACGUGCUGAACCUCGUCGACUCCCCCGGGCACAUCGACUUCUCGUGCGAAGUGUCCACGGCGAUGCGUCUGUGCGACGGCGCCGUCGUCAUCGUCGACGUCGUGGAUGGCGUCACCCAGCAGACGUCGUCCAUCCUGCGCCACACCUACCAGGAGGGGCUGUCGAUGUGCCUCGUGCUGAACAAGAUCGACUUGCUCGUGACAACGCAGCAGUACACUGCGGAGGAGGCAUACCUGCGCCUGCGCAGCAUCAUCGAGAUCUGCAACGCCAUCUUGGCAUCCUAUGCGAACCAGAUGAAGAUACAGGAGAUGGAUCAGGACAUGAAGCGCGAGGACCCCAGCGACGACGUGUGGUUCGACCCAUCCAAGGGCAACGUCCUUUUCUGCAGCUGCUACGACGGCUGGGCCGUUGGCGUGGACUUUUUCGUGAGGCUGUACAAGGACAAGGUGCCGCUGCACAACCUCGCGGAGGCCCUCUGGGGGGAGCACUACUUUGACCCCAAGACCAAGACCGUGAGCCCGAAGCCGAAGAAAGCGGGGCAGCUGCCCUUGGCUGUGCAGCUCAUGCUCGAACCCAUCUGGCAGCUCUACGACGCAUUUCUCGGUGACAACGCGAGUGAGGAGCGGCAGAAGCAGUUGUCCGAGAAGCUGAAGAUUGCCGAGAGCAAGUGGAACAACCCGCGCCACGACCCGCGCCGCAAGCUGAAGGCGCUGCUCUCGAUAUGGAUGCCCCUCGCCCCCUGUGUGCUCGACACGGUUUGCACGAGACUCGACUCCCCGAUCACCUUGCAGCGGCGCCGCCUGCCUUCUCUCGUCCCGGGCUUCGAGGCCGACACCCCCGCGGAGCUGAAGGAGGCGCUCAUGAACUGCGAUCACUCCCCGGAGGCGCCGUGCAUUGUGUACGUCUGCAAGCUAAUCGACACACAAUACCUCGUCGGUCGCGCCGUCGGCUCCGUGGAGAACCACGAUGGCGCCUUCAUUGGGUUCGGGCGCGUCUACAGCGGGCGCCUGCGCGCCGGGCAGCCAGUGUAUGUCCACAGCGAUGGCGUGGUGGUGGAGGCGACGGUAGGCAGCGUCUAUCUCUUCCGCGGCACCGGUCUUGAGGAGACGUCGGAGGUGAGCGCUGGCUUCCUCUGCGGUGUCGGCGGUCUCACCUCGUACAUCACCAAGUACGCCACCAUCAGCAGCGUGCCUAGCAUGCCGCCCUUCAAGCCGCUUGUACUGCAGAGCACCUCGAUAGUGCGGCUCUCCGUCUUCCCGAAGGACCCAAGAAACUUGCAGGAGCUGGAGCGGGGCCUGCGGCUGCUCUACAAAGUCGACCCGCAGGUGGAGGUGAGCAUGCUGCCAACCGGUGAACACGUGAUCGGCACAGCAGGCGAAGUUCACGCAGAGCGCUGCCUCAAGGACCUCAUCGAAACGUUUGCACAGGUGGAGGUGGUCGCCUCGGAGCCGCUCGUAUCCUUUCGCGAAACCAUUGUGAGCAACCUGAGCGCCAAGCCGAAGCCGCACACCGCGUCGCUCAUGGACGGCGCCUUCUACAUCACCCUCCAAGCGCGGCCGCUGCCGACCGAGGUGCUCGAGCUGAUCAAAGAAGACGGGAAGAACAGCGGCAAUAACCCGCAGCUUCUGCGGCAGGCAGUGGCCGCCCUGUCAGGGCACAAGCGCUUUUCUGCGGAUGUCAAGAAUGGCGUCGUCGCCAGCGGCCCGUCUCGGCUCGGCUUCCUUGGAGCAGUGCUGCUCGCCAACUUCGACGGCACUGUGGAUCCAGUGGCAUGCUGGACGACGCUGCAGGACUGGAAAGAGUCCAUCGUGGCAGGCUUCCAGGCCGCCUGCGAGAGCGGGCCGAUGGCACAGGAGCCCUUGUACGGGGUGGCUUUUGUGGUGACGAACAUCUUUGUGGACGCAGACUCGGACAUCUCCGGCGGCAUGGUUCUGCCCAGCGUGCGGGAGGCGUGCCGCGCUGCGAUGAAGCUGCACCCUCGCCGUCUUGUCGAGCCCGUGUACGAGUGCACCGUGUACUCCUCCGGCUUUACCCAGGGCAAGAUCUACGCCUCACUGAACCGCCGCCGCUCUGAGAUCGUCGAGGAGGUGCCGAACGAGGGCAGCGACCUCUUCUACAUCCGCUGCUGGCUACCGGCUGUUGAGGCGUUCGGCUUGCAGGACGAGCUGCGCGUACAGACGCAAGGCGCCUCGACGGCGCAGCUGCAGAUGAGUCACUGGGAGGUCAUCGACGCCGAUCCGUACUUUGUGCCCACAACGAAGGAAGAAUUCGAGGAGCACGGUGCCGAGGUGGCGACCAAAAACAUUGCGGAGCAGCUUUUGGAGCGCAUUAAGCGGCGCAAGGGCCUCUACCGCGAGCGCGUGGUGGAGAGUGCCGAGAAGCAGAAGUUCUCCUUGAAGGGCGCGUGAGAGCGUUGCGGCUCUCUGUUCCUCUUCCGUUCUCCCUUUGUGUGUUUUCUGCCCUCUCCCCACUCCCGCGCGUCCUCUCCGCUCUCUGGCGCGUUUGUUGAGAUACAAAGACACUGGCAGUGAUGGUGGGAGGGGGAGUGACAGAAAGAGGGCGGGGGUGCGUAAUGGCGCCCUUCUGUGCCUGCAUGUGUGUGUGUGGGGGGGGGGGGCGUUUCCGUUUGUGGCGGAGAUUUCGAGUAGUGUGCAGAGCCGCUGCAGUCAUGAGGCAAUGAAGCGACGAUGAGGGAGGAGGAAGGAGAGAGCCGUAGCGCUGCGAGCUGGUCGUUGUGUUUGAGCGGCUGACGGAGGGGGAGGAGGUAGUGGAUGACCCGUCUCCGUGUACGCAUACUCGCCUGCAGGUGAGGCGGACGGCGCAGCCCUUUCCUUCGCGGCGACUGAGCAAGGGAGUGGUCUACAUAUGCACACCCUUACACUGAAGGCGCAUGUGAGGUCGAUGCAGAGCAAGUGAGCGGAAGCAUCGCAAGUCGGCCGAAGCUGCUCGUUGCAAUAGGUGCAGCGGAGCUGUUAGUGAGAGGGAAGGCAACGAGAAGACAGCCUUCACCGCUUCCGCUCUCUCGCACAUCGGCGCGCCCCUCUCCCACCACCGAUGGAAGCGGUGGCACACGCAUCCGUACACGCAGCCCCGCAUAGAGGGAUAAGAAAUGCCUUGCUUGCCGUGUAUAAAAGCAACGACACAGAGGGAGCGACAAGCGACAAGCAGAGAGGGGUAUAGACGCGUGCUGCUCGCAAGUGCACGCACACGAAGAUGGAAGCGAGCUAGCGCUUUUCUUCCUCUGUGAGUCAGUGUUUGAGCGCGCGGCAUCUUUCACAGCAGCUGCCACAGUCCAUCCCCUCCCCCUUCUCCGCAGCGGCAUACCUUGAUAGAGGUAUCAGCGCGGUCGUCGGCUCCCAGGUGAUGACUGCCCUUCCGCCCACCCCCAGCACCCGUCGUGGUCCCAGCGCGGGUGCCUCUUCUCUUUCAAAUUCAUCUCCGUCCUUGCUUCCCCCGCCCUCUCUCCGAGUCGUAG
rnacentral:misc_RNA from 1 species